rnacentral:rRNA from 1 species
CCCUUAGAUGUUCUGGGCCGCACGCGCGCUACACUGAUGCAUUCAACAAGCCUAGCCUUGACCGAGAGGUCCGGGUAAUCUUUGAAACUGCAUCGUGAUGGGGCUAGAUUAUUGCAAUUAUUAAUCUUCAACGAGGAAUGCCUAGUAAGCGUGAUUCAUCAAAUCGCGUUGAUUACGUCCCUGCCCUUUGUACACACCGCCCGUCGCUCCUACCGAUUGUAUGUGUUGGUGAGGAGCUCGGAUUGGCAGCAGUUGGUGGUUCGCCACCGGCUAUUGCUGAGAAGUCCUCCAAACCGCCCCAUUUAGAGGAAGGAGAAGUCGUAACA